rnacentral:rRNA from 1 species
CCUACGGGUGGCAGCAGUGAGGAAUAUUGGUCAAUGGCCGGAAGGCUGAACCAGCCAUGCCGCGUGAAGGUCAGUGCCCUUUGGGCGUUAAACUUCUUUUGUGCGGGAGCAAUAAUGGUCACGUGUGGCCAGACGAGAGUACCGUACGAAUAAGCAUCGGCCAACUCCGUGCCAGCAGCCCCGGUAAUACCGGGGAUGCAAGCGUUAUCCGGAUUUGUUGGGUUUAAAGGGUGCGUAGGCUGGGAGGUAAGUCAGCGGGGAAAUGCCCCCGCUCAAAGGGGUGAAGUGCCAUUGAUACUGCCUUGCUGGAGUGCGGAUGACGGGGGCGGAAUGUGUGGUGUAGCGGUGAAAUGCAUAGAUAUCACACAGAACACCGAUUGCGAAGGCAUCUUACGAAUCCGCGAUUGACGCUGAUGCACGAAAGCGUGGGUAUCAAACAGGAUUAGAUACCCCUGUAGUC